GUAAAUUACAAGCAUGCUACACUCUUUGAAAAAGUAGUACAUUACCUAUUUCAAAUAGCUUCCAGCUUUAGAAUGUUUUUUUCUUGAGUGCACUGAUCCUUUUACUUAUCUUGCCUAAGAUUCAGUGGAGAAAUUCAUGUCCCUACAACCAUUUGGAUUUGGGCCUGCCCAAUCUCUAAGAUUCAUCCAGUUUGGGAUUCCUUAAAACCAUGUUCUCCUUCACUAUGGGAGAAUCCAGAAAUGUGAAAAAAAGGAAUUCAAACAGAUAGAGAUAUAGACAUAGGAACAUUAAAGAGACUCAGAAAGUGAACUGUUUGGAGAAGGCACCAUUAAGAUGCCUGCACAUCCCACUCACUGCACCAGAGGAUCCAGAGAGAACUUUGGGAUAUGGUGAUUUGAACUGUGUGGAGUUGAAUGCAUUUGUUUUCUGCAACUACUACUGUUUCUCUGGACUACUGACCUAUUGGGACUAA
rnacentral:lncRNA from 1 species